CGAGUAUACAUCAACUUAGAUUAGCGCCACAUAAUACGAUUAUAAGCCGUUUAAUAUCGAUUCAAUUACGAUUUUUUGUGGCAACGUAUGUAGCCGACCUAUAACCGUUCACAUAACAUUUUUCAAGUAAGAGUACGAACACACUGCAAACUUUUAGUCGGCCGGUAGUUUGUUUGGGCUCAUAAAUAAGUAUGAAGAUGAAUGGUUGAACGUACGUUACCAAGAUUAGGUAUUUAGCUGGUAUCAGACCGACUGAGAACUUUAAACAGAAUCAAGAUUUUUUUUUU